rnacentral:misc_RNA from 1 species
GGAAGUCGUAACAAGGUUUCCGUAGGUGAACCUGCGGAAGGAUCAUUAAUGAGAACUAAGGGUAGUAGUCUCGGCUACUACUCUGAACACUCCACCCUUUGUUUAUAUUACCUUUGUUGCUUUAGCAGGCCCGCUCUCGAGCCGCCGGCACCUGCUGGCUAGUGCCUGCUAAAGAACCUAAAACUCUUGUUAAUAAUAUUGUCUGAGUACUAUAUAAUAGUUAAAACUUUCAACAACGGAUCUCUUGGUUCUG